rnacentral:snoRNA from 1 species
GCGACCUUACUUGAACAAGAUCUGCUCUAUAGGAUCGUAUCACUGUAUCCUUGAGUUCUAAGGAGAUAGGAACUAAGCCUGGUUGAUGAGUUCUGGCC